UAAUACGGAGGGUGCGAGCGUUAAUCGGAAUUACUGGGCGUAAAGCGCGCGUAGGCGGCUAUGUAAGUCGGAUGUGAAAGCCCCGGGCUCAACCUGGGAAUUGCGUUCGAUACUGCAUGACUAGAGUAUGGGAGAGGGAAGUGGAAUUUCCGGUGUAGCGGUGAAAUGCGUAGAUAUCGGAAGGAACACCAGUGGCGAAGGCGACUUCCUGGCCCAAUACUGACGCUAAGGUGCGAAAGCGUGGGGAGCAAACAGGAUUAGAUACCCUGGUAGUCCACGCCGUAAACGAUGAGAACUAGAUGUCGGGAGGGUUUAGCCUUUCGGUGUCGCAGCUAACGCAUUAAGUUCUCCGCCUGGGGAGUACGCCGGCAACGGUA
rnacentral:rRNA from 1 species